rnacentral:misc_RNA from 1 species
UCCGAGUUGACCCCGGCGGUCUCCUGUGAGUCCCCAUCACCCCGAAGGGCAUGCUGGCAACACAGAACAAGGGUUGCGCUCGUUGCGGGACUUAACCCAACAUCUCACGACACGAGCUGACGACAGCCAUGCACCACCUGUACACGUUUCACCCGAAGGCAGGCCCAUCCCUUUCAGGCGGACCAUCCGUGCAUGUCAAGUCUAGGAUAAGGCUCUUCGCGUAGCCUCGAAUUAAGCCACAUCCUCCACCGCUUGUGUGAGCCCCCGUCAAUUCCUUUGAGUUUCAGUCUUGCGACCGUACUCCCCAGGCGGAGUGCUUAAUGUGUUGACUUCGGCACAGCAGGGGUCGAUACCCGCUACACCAAGCACUCAUCGUUUACGGCGUGGACUAC